UACGUAGGGCGCAAGCGUUAUCCGGAAUUACUGGGCGUAAAGGGCGCGUAGGCGGCCUGUUAAGUCGGACGUGAAAUCCCUCGGCUCAACCGGGGAACUGCGUCCGAUACUGGCGGGCUUGAAUUCGGGAGAGGGAUGUGGAAUUCCAGGUGUAGCGGUGAAAUGCGUAGAUAUCUGGAGGAACACCGGUGGCGAAGGCGGCAUCCUGGACCGACAUUGACGCUGAGGCGCGAAAGCCAGGGGAGCAAACGGG
rnacentral:rRNA from 1 species